rnacentral:snRNA from 1 species
AAUUUACACCGAUAUCUUGGAU